GGUGUUUAUAAGAAUUUUUUCACUGUUCUUUCAAAUAGCCUCUCACUGUGUGGAUCCUGGAAAUCUUUUGAAGUUCAUGGCAGUAGCUGGCAUUCAUGCAUAGACUGAGCAGUAAAUUUCCCAGUUAGGUAGUAAACUGCUCAUAGAGGAGACUGUGUAACUUAUCUCUGUGUAAAGCACUAUAACAUCAGCAGGAAGGGUAGACUUCAUUCCUGUUUAACAGCAAGACUUUAAAGCUUCCUUGGGCUCCUGGGCACUGAACUGUGUGUUCAGCUGGGAAGCAGAAAAGCUGCUCUUACUGUUUCUGGACACUUCUGUGUGUUGUAAACCCUGAUGUGACAAUGCAGGCUCUACUCACUUUCACUCCAGGCUCUUGACAUUCCAUGUACUUGAGAGAGCUCUCUGAAUAAUGUAGACAUUUCUCUUUUGAGGCACAGCAUGCAAUUACAGACAAGAUAAAACUGGAAGGUCUCUCUGACAUAUUAAGUUAGGGUUCCAAUGUGUUUAACCUUCAGUGACCUUAAAGAGUCACUAUGACAUUUUUACAAUAGACAGAACUUGAUUAUUAUGAGAUUACCAAGAAAUUACAAAUAACAUCUUGCUUGGCUUUAUGUCCUAGUUCAUUUAAUUAGAUCCUGCCAGGAUUUCCAGUUAUUCAUAGAGGUUUGCUGCCCGGUGCCCGGAAAGUGCUGUUCCCAGUCAAGUCCAGUAGAUAAUUGUGUCUAUUAGUCAAAGCUCUGAACUUGGUUGUCUGAGUUUUGGUCUACUGAAAACAGAUUGGAAGGAUAAAGUGAGUCUUAAAUGGCAUGUUGUACAACACAAAUCCUGAUGAAAAUAGACCAAUACCAUAGUAUGAAAUGCAUUCAUUGAAACAUCAAAUUUAUAAAGAAGAGUAAGAAAAUAAAAAAUCAAGGUAAGUUUACAAAUAAUUCACAAAAAUGAAACUAACUUCACAAAGAAUGUUAUACAAAAUUGCCAACUCGUCAUUCAUGCGUCUUUAAAAUAACCUACAUCUUCAGACUAAUCAUCUUUCUUAAGUGUACUGUCCUACCUUUUUGAUAACUUAGAAAGCAGUGUGGUUACUUGUAUUAAAAUAGUAAUAUGAUGAUCUAAUAAGCACUACUAAAUAGUGCAGAUUAAUUUCCAUUGGGAAGCUAUGGGUUUUUAAACACUGCUUACUUUCUAACCUUAAUUUUCCAAUUAAUAAAUUGCAUAUCAAAAUAAAUGAAAAAGAAACUUUUCAAUUAAUAAAUAUGCAGGAUAAAGGGAAACAAUUGUUCUUAAAUUGUUCAAGAUCCUAAAUUGUUCAUACAAUAUAUUUACCAUGUACAAACAUAUUUUCUGAAGCCAUAAACUACAGCAGGAUCCAUAUACUGACCUUAGAGGUGGAAUGAGCAUCUCUUCAUGCCACAGAAUUCAAUACAGUCAUGGCACAAGAAACCUGAAAGUGCAAGAAAAAUAAAAUCACCAGCUGGAUCUUGGCACCAUAGGAGAUAAAUCAGUGUCAUAUAAAAUGUAAGAAUAAAUCAUUUAAAGGUCAAUAUUUCUAUAUGACUUUAAAUCAAUAAUACAGAAAUCUUAGAGAGUAUUUAUCUUCUGUGUGAGAUAAUAGUAUUGUAUUCAUUCAAAUGAUCUAGCAAACUGAGUGUGAGAUAAUUUGCCCGAAAUGUUAACUGUAUUCGCCCUUGAAAUUCCUGUGCCUGAUGGUCUUGCAGAUACCAAGUCACCCUGCUACUUGAUACCCUGAAUACAGAAAGCCAUUACAGAGGGACACGCAUGUACCUCAUGACUGAAGAACAGGAAGGAGGUGGGAAAUAGGGAGGUGGCUGAUCUCCAUUUUCCCGUAAUCAAGAAUCUCUAAGUGCCUUGGAGAGCAGAUGUUGGAGUUUUGUGUAAGAAUCUGUAAUUCCAGUGAGGAAAAAUGACUUUGAUGAGUUUCAAGAUAUUUGGCUCAAAAUAAAAGCAGAGCUGACCUCUCAUUUAAAAAUUCCCAAACAGAUUCUGAAUACUCUGAUUUGAAUUUGGCUCUAAAUAUACACUGGAGGAUGUUUCAAAAGGGAAACUUUUGUCAAUGUGAAAACAAUAGAAGCUCAGCUACCCA